UCUGGCAAGAUGUAUCUUAACUGUCUACAUGAAUAACAUAUCCCCUUAUUUCUUCCAACCAUUGAAGAAUUCUAAUAGAACAACAACAAAAAACUACAUCACAAUAAUGUCCGAAUUGGCAAGUUAGAAUAAACCCAAAUGUAAAUGAAACAAUUUUCUCCAAUGGACAUAUAACUGUGGCUCGAAUUUUCUUUAGGAAAUAAACCACAUUUAAAGGUUACUAUGGGUGGAAUUUGCAUAAAGAAAAGCACGAAGACACUUCCGCAGUGACUCUUAAAAAACUACAUCACAAUAAUGUCCGAAUUGGCAAGUUAGAAUAAACCCAAAUGUAAAUGAAACGAUUUUCUCCAAUGGACAUAUAACUGUGGCUCGAAUUUUCUUUAGGAAAUAAACCACAUUUAAAGGUUACUAUGGGUGGAAUUUGCAUAAAGAAAAGCACGAAGAUACUUCCGCAGUGACUCUUCCUCCGAAAAACUAAUUCGAUUAAAGAACGAAAAAACACUUCCAUCGUAACAGUACCAAAACCCACCCCAAGAUGAAGAUCUUUACAAAUAAAGGGGCAUUUUGAAAACACACAUUUCCCGAUUGUACAGUCGUCGGAUGUAAAUCAACUGUCCAAAUAUAUAAGCUACUCAUUUUAAAAAACCCAAAUUGAACAUCUAUAAAUACAACACCAAAAAUAUUUCUAGUCAUUUAAAAAACAUACAUUUUUUGUGGUUGAUACUGAUUUAAAAACCCCAAAAUGAAGAUCUAUAAAUAAAGCACCCAAAAAAAAGUUUCCAGUCAUUUCAAAAACAUAUCGAACAUGGUGUCACCAGAUGUAGUUUAUCAACAUAGUCACCAGACCUGG
rnacentral:lncRNA from 1 species